AGAAGCAGCAGAUAUGUUAGGAAUAUUGCACAGCCUUGUAAUCUUAGUACUCUUAACUGCAAUUGAUAAUAUAAGAUGAAACAAUGCCUGUCUGAUGAGAGGAAGUUAAGUGACAAAGUCUCUGUGACAUAACAGGCUACUCCGUAAAGGUUACUUGAACACAAGCACUACGAUAAUGUCACAACUGACCUGCUAACAGAGACUGCUAGCAAAUGACCACUGGGCGGAUAACACAUACAGUACUGAUACACGGAGCAGUGAGAUAUCCCAUGCUUCUGGCAGGACUCAGCAAGAUAGGAAAUGUCUGGAAUGACAGUAACUUGUUUGGGCUGCCAUCAUGAAGCUAGACUUCAUUUAUCAUUAACUUUAUUUUUGGGCUGCAAUCCCUAAUUCUACUGAGAUAUAGAAGAGACACAGGAGGCAGAAGCCACAGAGAAAAAACACCAAAAGGCUUCAAGUACACUGUGAUCGUCUAUUCAAGUCUUUCUCUGUUGAUAAAGUUUUCCAAAAUCAUAAUAGAAGAAUCUCAAAAUAGUGACAAAACAGUAACCUUCUUUGUUGAUUAGCUAACCUGGCUUCUGCGGAGAUUAGAUUCUGGGCUGUGUGUCUGAAACAUUGUCUACUAUCCUGGCCUUGUAUUCUUAUCAAUAACAAAAAUAUUAUUUCCAGCCACCUAUCUCUU
rnacentral:lncRNA from 1 species